GAUGAACGCUGGCGGCGUGCCUAAUACAUGCAAGUCGAGCGAACAGACGAUGAGCUUGCUCCGCUCUCGUUAGCGGCGGACGUGUGAGUAACACGUGGAUAACCUACCUAUAAUUCGGGGAUAACUUGGGAAAACCGGAUCUAAUACCAGAUGAUAUAUUGAUCCGCAUGGUUCAUUGGUGAAAGUCGGUUUUGCGGUCACUUAUAGCUGGAUCCGCGCCUCAUUAGCUAGUUGUUGAGUUAAAGGCUUAUCAAGGCGACGAUGCGUAGCCGACCGGAGGGGCUGAUAGGCCACCUGGGAACUGGACCGCGGUCAAGAGUCCUACGGGAGGGCGCAGUAGGGAACCUUCCGCAGUGGGCGAGAGCAUGACGGAGCAACGCCGAGUGAGUGAUGACGGUCUUCGGAUCGUAAAAAUCUGUUAUUAGGGAAGAACAAAUGUGUAAGUAACUAUGCACGUCUUGACGGUACCUAAUCAGAAAGCCACGGCUAACUACGUG
rnacentral:rRNA from 1 species